GAAAUGCGAUAAGUAGUGUGAAUUGCAGAAUUCAGUGAAUCAUCGAAUCUUUGAACGCACAUUGCGCCCCUUGGUAUUCCAUGGGGCAUGCCUGUUCGAGCGUCAUUUGUACCUUCAAGCUCUGCUUGGUGUUGGGUGUUUGUCUUGCCAGAACCCCCCAUAUUUUAAUGAAUUGACCUCGGAUCAGGUAGGGAUACCCGCUGAACUUAA
rnacentral:misc_RNA from 1 species